GGCCUGACGUGGCAGGCGCUUCGUGGCGGUCGGUCAGUCGGUAGCGGCGGCCCCGAGGAGACGGGCGGCACCCUCGUCGUCCCCUCGGCCCAGCCCGGGAGACCGGCUCGCCGCGGGCCCUUCGGGGCUUCCCGCGGAGCUCGCGGGGAGCUCGGAGGAACGGCGCGGCCCGGAGCGGCGGGCGGGCGGGCGGGCGGGCGAGCGCGGCCUGGGGCUGCGGCGCCGUGACGUGCGCUUCUCCGAGCCCGCCGUCGGCCUCGCUGCGAUGGACGGGAGUGGCCCGGCCCCUCGCUCGGCGGUGCGGUUUAGCUAAGGCACCGUUUUUUUCGGGGUGCAUCAGAACCUUCCAGAAAUAAAACCAAGGGGUCGCCUGGAGUUUUUAAUAAAAGCGCAUAAAUGGGACAGGUCGGUCUCUCCCGAUCGUGGAGGGCAGAAUCCUCAAAUUUAGCAUCCAGCAACCUGCGCUGCUCCGCAACCGACCCCAUGACCAGGCCUUCCCAUCUGCCAGUCAGCCUCGGAGGGCCCUUCGCCCUGCCCUGAGGCUCUCCCAACAGUGGAGAUAAGGAUGUUUCUCUUUCCUUUUAUUCUUGCGCCCAUGGCAAAACUGAAUUAUAAUCGCUGCAAGAGAGAAGCCAACUCUGGUUUUUUUCUAAAUAUAAACAUGUAAAUAUGUUGAUUAAAAAAAAGUAAAUGCUAAAGGUUACUAAUUUCUUUGACUGUUAACUGGGUGGGAAAGAAAUUAAUUUCCCCAGAAAUGUAGGUUUGUCAAAAGAAUACUUUGUUUCUUCAGAACAAAUUCCUUCCUAGAAGAAAGUAACAAUUUAUAGCACACAAAAAGAUUCCAUCCCAAAUUAAAAUUUGGAAGAAUUUCCAUCUUAUUUUUUUUAUAAUAAUCCUGAUGAUAAAUUUAAAAAAUAAAAAACAAACCUAAACCAGUCUCUGGAGAUGCCACAAAUAACAAAAGAUGAAAUUCAAAACACUUCAGAGUCUUGACAGCUUUGAGCUACCAUCCCCAUGUGUUGUUCCCCGUUUCCCUAGAGAGCGACAAAGCCCCGUGAAUGUGGGUCCCCUUCCCCUUAUCACUGUCAUCCUGAUACAAGCUCUACUGGUCGUUGAAUACUUGAUCAAUUCAUUUACUCUUCAUGAGUGUUGACAAUGACACAGAUUAUCCUAAUGGUGGAAGAAAAUGGAAGUCUUAAAGAGACUGAGCAGUUCAUUUAAGUUCUCUUAUUUAUUUUGAGUACAGCGCAGGUUCUUAGCUCGUUGGUAUACUUUACUGUUAUAGUCCAGUUGAGAUGUUACAGACCACCAUACAUAUGUAAGGCCAAAUGACAGUCCUUUGUUAAGCCAGCAACCAAGAGCAGGCUCUUGCCCCCAAAGACUCUCUUGGCUCAGGGUGUAGCAUUUCUAAAGAGAAACCACAAUGACAUCGUCAGGGUCAGGGGAACGUGUUUGCAUUUGUUUUGACUAUACAACCAGCAAAUAUUUUGGUUAUGUAUCUGAGCCAUGGAAAGUCCCAAAUGUGCUGCCAAGGCGGAUGUGAAUGUUGUGGGGGUGGGGAGACGGGGAAGGAGGUGGAAAAGUGCCCAAGCAGACUCAAAAUGGAGCCAGAGUACGAUCAGGACAAAAUGGCAUUACUUUAGUCAUUUCACUCCAUUGCGCUCCUCGUUUCUUUUAGUGUUUCUUUUAGUUAUUUUGUUUCAAAUGCUUGAUGUCUCCGUUUGGAUUCCUUAGUUUUCAGUGAGUGCCCGCUGGCUUCUGGCUUUGUAGCCAGAGCAGAGCCGAAGAGCUGGUCCCUGAAGUCUCUGGUAGGCGAGGCUGGUCUGCGUGGACCUUUACCAUCUGUGCCUCUUCCUUCUAAGGCCGUCAUCUUUACCUAGAUUUGGUGGAUCCAGGGGUGACACCUCUCCCUUAGUAGUUAGAUGACUGUCCGCACUUUAUCCAUAGCUGACUAGCCCAGUGGCAGAGUCUCUGUCUUACAUUAUCUGACCUCUUGGGAAACAGGUGUGAUGGCGCAUACCUUUCAUUCUGGGACCCGGAAGUUGGAGCCAACCUGGUCUACAAAGUCUACAGAUCAACUUCCAGGACUGCCAGGGCGGCACAGAGAAACCCUGUCUCAGAGUAAAAACAAGGCGAGGGGGCUCUCUUUCUACAGAAUUAGCCAACUACCUCUCAACCGUGGAAUUAGCUUUUCCUCCUAAGAGGAGCAGAAUGGGUAGCUAUCUAUGCAGGUCCCAUACCAGUGGGGAUGGCAGAUUCCAUAAAGUACAAGGUUGACCCUGUUCUCCCAACUCAAAUGUUUGACAAACUCCCGUUUGUUUUAGUAUUGCUAUUUGUCUCUGUGUCGUCUGAGACCUUAUCAUACGUGGCCUGCCCCAAGGGCUCAGGGAGCACGUUAGGAGGACAGCCGGGUAUUAACUGGGUUCUGGCUCUUUGGGAGACCAUCAAUGGGAACUGAGCAAUGGGGUAAGAAGGGUUGAGACCAGACUCUGAGGGUCAGAGAGUUUGGGAGAAGUACAGAAGGAGGCUGGGAAAGAGGGGCCAAGUGAGGAGAGCGAGCGGCAUAGAGCUUGGGGUGAAAGGAGAAAAGCAGAAGGGGAGUCUCCAGACAAAAGGAAACCCAGAUGGAAUCGGAGGGCGGAGGCUCCUGGAACCACGAGUAUCAUCCCAGAAAGGAAUCGGCACGACUCACGUAACAGCUAAUAAGGGCAGUGGAUUUCUCCCUUAAAGGUGAGGUGCACAUGCCAAGUUGAUUUCUGACCACCACUAAUUCAAAGAGCCUAGAGAAUAGACCAGCUCUCUUGUCCCUGAGACGAAUCCAAAGGAGACAGAGACAUUAACAACAAAAAUGCCACCCUCUGGGCAGAAUCCGUCCAGUCACUCACAUAAUUCGGACAGCCAGCCAUUAGAAACCCAGGUCUGCCAAACACUCACUGAAUCCCAGGUCCUCUGUGGGUGUCCCAAUAUAGUGUAAGAGGACAAGGGAAUGUCCAAACCUAAGAGCUCCUCAGGAGGCCUGACCCUCUUAGACCUUAAGGCUUCCCAGGAGCCCUGGCCUUCAGGACUGAGUUCCUAGAACCAGAUGGACUCAAUCUGUCCCGGUGCCUGGGAACACAGGAGCAAUUCCAGACCUUUCUGUGCUCAGCAGGAGGCACAAGACCCUGGAAUGAGUUCAAGGGUUACAAGUAUGAACUCAGCUGAGUUCCAUGUGCGUACAGUAAUAUCACUGGGGCUUCUAUAUGUUACAGCCCAGAUGAGAAAGUUAAACCGUGACGAAGAAUAGGCUCUUGCCCCAAAGAAACUCUUGGCACCAAAGCUUAAAGCUCAGGCUACAACGUUGCUAAGGAUAAAAGCACAAUGACGUCAUUAUCGGGUAUAGGUCAGGGGAACCUAGUCACAUUUGUUUUGACUAUACA
ensembl:processed_transcript